UACGUAGGUGGCAAGCGUUGUCCGGAAUUACUGGGUGUAAAGCGCGUGUAGGCGGCAGACCAAGUCGGCGGUGAAAGCGCCCGGCUCAACUGGGCGAGGUCCGUGGAAACUGGUCAGCUGGAGGACGGUAGAGGCGAGUGGAAUUCCACGUGUAGCAGUGAAAUGCGCAGAUAUCAGGAAGAACACCCGUGGCGAAGGCGGCUCUCUGGGACGGUACUGACGCUGAGACGCGAAAGCGUGGGGAGCGAACAGG
rnacentral:rRNA from 1 species